GCUAUUUAGGUAGCGCCUCGUGAAUUCAUCUCCGGGGGUAGAGCACUGUUUCGGCAAGGGGGUCAUCCCGACUUACCAACCCGAUGCAAACUGCGAAUACCGGAGAAUGUUAUCACGGGAGACACACGGCGGGUGCUAACGUCCGUCGUGAAGAGGGAAACAACCCAGACCGCCAGCUAAGGUCCCAAAGUCAUGGUUAAGUGGGAAACGAUGUGGGAAGGCCCAGACAGCCAGGAUGUUGGCUUAGAAGCAGCCAUCAUUUAAAGAAAGCGUAAUAGCUCACUGGUCGAGUCGGCCUGCGCGGAAGAUGUAACGGGGCUAAACCAUGCACCGAAGCUGCGGCAGCGACACUAUGUGUUGUUGGGUAGGGGAGCGUUCUGUAAGCCUGUGAAGGUGUACUGUGAGGUAUGCUGGAGGUAUCAGAAGUGCGAAUGCUGACAUAAGUAACGAUAAAGCGGGUGAAAAGCCCGCUCGCCGGAAGACCAAGGGUUCCUGUCCAACGUUAAUCGGGGCAGGGUGAGUCGACCCCUAAGGCGAGGCCGAAAGGCGUAGUCGAUGGGAAACAGGUUAAUAUUCCUGUACUUGGUGUUACUGCGAAGGGGGGACGGAGAAGGCUAUGUUGGCCGGGCGACGGUUGUCCCGGUUUAAGCGUGUAGGCUGGUUUUCCAGGCAAAUCCGGAAAAUCAAGGCUGAGGCGUGAUGACGAGGCACUACGGUGCUGAAGCAACAAAUGCCCUGCUUCCAGGAAAAGCCUCUAAGCAUCAGGUAACAUCAAAUCGUACCCCAAACCGACACAGGUGGUCAGGUAGAGAAUACCAAGGCGCUUGAGAGAACUCGGGUGAAGGAACUAGGCAAAAUGGUGCCGUAACUUCGGGAGAAGGCACGCUGAUAUGUAGGUGAAGUCCCUCGCGG
rnacentral:rRNA from 1 species